GAUGUGUUUUGCUCUACAAAUAGCACCCUCAUACUCCACUCAUUGUCCAGACACAGACAGAGCCUGGGCAGGGAAAAGUCCUUCAGAAGGAAGCACAAGGAGCUUUUCUGAUGAGCUUGGAGGACCUUAAAGCUCCUUGGGUGUCUGCUUGCUGUGGCUUGGCCACCAUCUAUGAAUCCUUUACUAGACUGCCAGGGGAGAGGUGAAGAGGGAAAUUAUCAUUUGGUCUGAUCACAAAAGCUGUUGGGGCUCCUAUGAUCAUCCUCUGUGUCCUGAGGCUCUGUCUCCCUCCUGGAUGUGUUCCCAGCUGCUGUUGUCUGGACCCAACACUUCAGGCAUGGCUCUUGACCAUUAAUACCAGUGUCUUUGGCAUAACAGGGACCAGCAAACAACUUGUGACCCAAAAGAGAAACAGCAGCAGUAGCAGCUGGGCUCUUCUCCAGAGCUCCUGAUAAUGGCCAGCAUCAUUCCAGCCACCAGCACAAGGCAAAAACUUGCACACACAGAACACCCUCCUGCCCGUGGCAGCCAGAGCACCCUUCAGACAUCCACCUCACCUGCUGACACAAUCCUUCAGCACCCACCAAAAUCAAAUGCAGCUAAUUGAAAGGUGAUGACGGCCAGAGGAUUCCUGGAUUUGCAUGCUAAUUCCUCUAUUUUAGCAUCACAGAGCCCAAGUACAGCAGGUUCUGUGUUCAACACCUUCCUGAGAAAAGAGGAUUUCUGCAUGGAAGGAGAAUGAGUACUCAGACACACACCUCAAUUCUUCAGCAUCAGGCGCUUCUGGGCACAUUAGCCUAGAUUUAGACCUCGAUUUAUCCCAAGGAGUAGAUGCCAGGAAAUUCUUUCUGGAACCUCCUGAUAUUUGUGGCUUUUCAGAGCUAAGGAGAAGUGAAGUUUAAAGUGCUGACAGCAUUGCCUCACCAUCCAUCUCAGGCACAACCCCUUCAAGUUUCCUACCUAUAUCAGCCAAAUAGAGUGAUUCAAAUCAAGGUUUUGGCUGGAAAAUCCCAGAAAUGCAAAUUAUCUCAGCUUUCUGCUUCUUCCAGUGUGUCUUUAUGGGUCCAAAUCAGUCUUAACCCUGCAGAAAUACAGACAUUUCCGUGUGAUUCCACAUGCAGGACUGGUCAGUAUAAAGCAAAUAAGUGACACUCGUGGAUGUUGGAUCAUGUGUCAUCUUGUUGGAUGUGCCUCCAGAUUUGAUGAGAAUGUCACCAUGAAUGUCCAUUGGCAAACUGGAUAAGAAAGAGUGUCACAGUGCAGGACAACCUAGAAGAUGACAGGUAUUUCCAGGCAUAGCAAUGAUGAGAUCAAAUUCCCCUCAACCUGCCUUGUUUGCUGAUCUUUUAAUCAGAUUCAACUUCACUGCAGCUACAGCACAAGGUUCCCUGACAAUGUAUGACAGCAUGUGACAGAAAAAUAUUUUGAUUUUUUUUUCUUUUUUGGUCAUUUGAUGCUAUUUGAGAUAAAUCUGAAGCCCCAGCAGCAGCUGAUAAAUCUACCAAACUACUUUAGCAGAGGUUUUUACCUAUUCACAAUUGAACUGGAGGGUCUGGGGUGUGUGUUCGUGUGUUUGUAGUGGAAUCCAAACAAGAAAGCUGGGAAAUGAUCUAAACCCUUUGAGGUUAACCUGCCAUGAAAAAGCAUCAAUGACAGAAGAGGACAUUAUUAAAAAGGAGCAAACCUUGCUCAAAAAGAACCACUUUAUGAAGCCAGAGCCCAAAGAACAACACCCAGGGCUGUUUGUGGUCCCACAGGGAUGUGCAUUUCACCCCCCAUCUUCAUCUCUCCAAAUUUCCUCUGAACAGCUUCUGAGCUGAAUUCUUGAGAAAGAAAAACACCAGCAAAUUUUGAAUGGACUUAUCAGCCUUUUCCCUACAAUCUGCUUCAUAUUCCUCUCACACCCAUAUUCUUGCAGUGUCUUGGAUCACAGAUAAGAGAGAACAAGGAAAGGAAUGAAGCAAGAAGCAAACAACAAAACAAAACCAGCACCCCCCAAACUUUUUGAUGA